rnacentral:lncRNA from 1 species
CAUUUUUCUGUCCUUUGUCUUGCAAACAGCUUCUCAGCAAGGAACCUUUGUUGGGAAUCAGUGUUGGGGCAGCCUGGGGCCUUCUCUGGCUCUUCAAGUCUUACAGUAAACGCCCAGUAAGACAACAUUGGAGACAGCAGGGCCCAUAUGGGUAUUGGAGAAACAAUGGACAAAGUCAGACCCAGCCCAGUGGAUGACGGCAGGAUCUCACUAGUGUUGGUCUCACAAGUGUUGAGUAGAAGAUACCCAGAGAGUGAGACAACUUCCAGGACUAGAACUGUGUGUGGAGUCCAAACCAGGAGAGUUGGGGAAAGAGGGCAGUUGGACAUCAUCUUCGUGGAUGGAAUCUUGCCAGGAAGAAGACCUCCUUGAGAAGAAGAUGGGUGAGUGAAGGCAACAAGUAAUUGACACGGAUCGAGCAUCUACACCGGGUACCUUUGUGUGGCUCUCUUGGGGCUUGUGGCUGUCUGUAGGGGAGCCCAGCAAGCAA